rnacentral:SRP_RNA from 1 species
GCCAGGUGUGGUGGUGGGCGCCUGUAAUCCCAGCUACACGGGAGGCUGAGGCAGGAGAAUCGCUUCAACCCAGGAGACCAGGGGGUUGCAGUGAACCAGGAUCGCAACACUGCACUCCAGCCUGGGUAACAGAGCGAGACUCUGUCUCAA